CAGCAGCCGCGGUAAUACGUAGGUGGCAAGCGUUGUCCGGAAUUAUUGGGCGUAAAGGGCUCGCAGGCGGUUUCUUAAGUCUGAUGUGAAAGCCCCCGGCUCAACCGGGGAGGGUCAUUGGAAACUGGGAAACUUGAGUGCAGAAGAGGAGAGUGGAAUUCCACGUGUAGCGGUGAAAUGCGUAGAGAUGUGGAGGAACACCAGUGGCGAAGGCGACUCUCUGGUCUGUAACUGACGCUGAGGAGCGAAAGCGUGGGGAGCAAACAGGAUUAGAUACCCCGGUAGUCCCUGUCUCUUAUAC
rnacentral:rRNA from 1 species